rnacentral:lncRNA from 1 species
UUCCUCAUACUGCUCUACCCAUGACGAACAAGGCGAUCAGGUAGGAUCCAUAGCUCGAUAUGCAACAGAGCUGCAGGACUGCUCUCGUUUCUGUUAGUUCCCUGUAGUGAGGAAAUAUAAAAGCCAUUCACUCUUUCACAAACACUGUUUCACACAAAUGCAUACACGAAACACGCAAGCUUUUUGGAGUGGGUAGAAGUUGCUUCUAACCACUGGUCCAUUGCACUGUCAGAUAUAUUGUCAGAUAUUUUAUCUAUCCCCAAAUUGUUAUUGCUGGGAUUACAAUGAUGUGGUCCUAGAGUUGUGGUUAGGGAAACAUCCACCCACCUCAAGCAAAACUCUUUCCAGCAAAUAUAAAUUCAACAACCGAUACACUACAAUUCGAUAAACUCCAAGCAUCAGUCCUCAUUUUGGCUACUGUGAAAGGAAACAAACACACUCAAAACAACAAAUAUUUUUUCAGUGUACAAAUGUAGCGGAUUUUUUUAGGGGGGGGGGGUCUUCUUCUCAAAGGCACCUUUCAAAAUGUAAUAGCUUAUGACAUUUCCCUGUCAAGAUUCAGACACCCAUCACACUUAGACAUCUGACUAUGAAUAAACCUAACAAAACCGCCUAAAACUACAAUAAAACCCAUAGAAAUUACUCUAUAUAAACUGAAAUCUCUCCCAAUAUGUACAUGAAAAACUCAACAUAUAAUGUUUCAUGUACAUCUUAUAAGUCACCUUCACUCUUCCUUCUGUACAGUACUGAUAAACCUCAACACAGUGCUAUAACACCAAACACCAGUAAUCAAUCCCUGGUGUAGUCAUCACAGGGGCUGCUACUCUACUGCCAACAUGUCUUACAAACUGAUUGUGAUUGCUGUACUCCGAUAAGAAGUUUGAAUGGGAAAAUAUGCAAUAAAUAAAGCUCAACUAAAUCUCACGUGUUUGGUCAGAUCAGUGCAAAUUGGUUUAUUUUUCAAUUUGGGCAAUAUCCAUUUGUCUGAUUGGUCUACAAAGUGCUAUUCCUGGCCUUCACUGGUUAAAAUAACAAUAUUUGCUACAAACUUCAGGAAAUAUUAAUAAAAUGAUCCAUCUCAAGCACUCAGACUAAAAAGCUCAAUGGGUUUAUGCAGUUCCAGCUGUUCUUCCACCAUGGCAGCCAUAUCAAACACUUUGGUCAAAAGGAAAUGCUCAGUGAGGUCCAUUUCCUGUCAAGGCCCAGAAGUGGCACAUACAGCAAUCCUCUCUACAUUCUCCUGUUUAUGGUCAAAAUAAUGUUUCUGCUGGGUCCAAAAGGGCAACAUUGUCAUUCUUAAUACGGCAAACUUAGCGUCAACAAAUUGUCACAGACAGGGAUGAAUAAAGUACAAUACUUAUGUAACAGCACCUUUAUAUGGUUCUAUCAAAGGAAUGUACAUUAAGCUGGGUCAAUAACAACACAUUUUUUUCUCCACACACAGGCCUGUGGGCUGUGACAGGCCAUACAAUUGUGUUAACGCUCUUAAACUCUUCUGGUUUCCUUGAAAAUGACAAAAAAAUCUAAAUCAAAUGUAAACCAUCAAAGAAACCAAAAAGAGGCAAACAGAUGGUUGACAAGUUAAGCCCACUCACUGUAAUAUCACGCUAUACUAUUGUCCACACAUCACCAUUACAAGCCAAACUAAAAAUAGCACAACUAUUCUCAAUGCCCCGCAUAGGGGUUGAGAUGAACAUUUUUACACAGAGUGGCUUCUUAUAGAGUGAUACCUCAUGUCUUAAGAGGAGUGAGGGUCUAGUUGUGAUUGCUUAGCGCUGAAUUAUUGACAGGAUCAAAUGGAGCGUGUCUGUGACUGCAGUAGAAUCCUCCGGCAGACUGCGUGGCUGUGAUUGCUCAGGGCAGCGUUACUGACGGUAAGAGGCUGUGUGUAUGGGACACUGCACAGAAAUGAAUAGUUAACACACUCAGUCUGUGUAGUGGGGUCCUGUCUGACACACGGAGGAGUGUGUAGUGGCCUUCUCACAAGCCCUUCAUCUCCAACAUCAACCAGGCAGUCACAGGCUCCACUGUGAGUAUGAGAGACCAGCGUCACCAGUCCCAAGCAUACUCAGUCCAGGCCCUUCAUAACACACACACACACCCCACUGGCUGGCAUCUCCAUGGAAACUAGCGGGUGGAGGGAGGAUAUUGAGUUGGUAGGGAGGGGGUCAGGUUGAAUGGGCAUGGUGGUGUCUGUCCAGAAUGACUGACAUCAUAGUUUAGCAGCAUCCAUGGGUGCUGAGCAGAGUCCUCAGACGCAGAGCCCUGACUGUAGUGCUGUGAGGCGACGCUCGAUG